CAAGUCUGUGUUCACAAUGUUUACACCCGAGAACUGACCUUCCACUUGCUCAUAAUAUCUGCUCGCCUGCAUUUCUUAAGGAGGAGGUGCGUUAUGACAGUUGCAGAGCACUGUGCAAGUGGAGGCAUUCCUGGAAAAGACAGACGAAUGGUUAAACAUGGGGCAGCAUGGAUCUCCAGGCUACUGGAGGUGUUAUGGAAGGAUCUAGAAUUGAAACUUAUGGAACACUGCCGGUCACAGGCCACAAGUCCAAAAAGCAAAAGGAUCCACUGGACAAACCCAAAAACUACAGCAUCCAAGACAGACAAAAUUAUGAGAUGAAUAUUGCAGUCUGACAAAGAUAAGACAUCUUACUUGAUGCCCCUUCCAUUGACAUAGUGAGCAGAAUAGCAAAACAUGGAAAAACAUGUGGAAAAUGUGGACUUCUACAUACAAUCAAGAGCUUUCCAGCAUUUCAUACUUUCUGUGAGGUGGGUGGCAAAAAUGAUUACUAGCAGCAGCAAUGCAAAACAACAAAGGCCAAAGGACCUCCCUGAAGUCAUGCAAAAACUCAGGCUGACAACAAACUGACAAUACCUUUGAGCAAUAACUGCCACUUUUCCUAAGGUUGUAAAUAAAAUGGGCAGUGAUGAUGUUAUAAGCUACAGUGAGCACAGUUGGACACUGCAUCAUCCUGAUGCAGAACAGACAAAUUCCUGAAUCAAUAUAACAUGCUUAAUGCAUGUUAUAUUGAUUAAGAUUAAACCAAGGCAUUGGUUGAGCUGCAAAAUGGCAUUUCUGGCAUCAAAUCAGCAUGGCGUACUCAUUGGCAUAAUGAUCGUUCUACCCUGCACAUUUCUGACAGAUGUUCUUUGCUUGUGCAUCAGCAGCUGUGUCAAAAUGGCAUCUGCCAAGCUUGAUGCCACAAGUGUGUGUAUGUAUCACAUGCACUUUAGAACACCUUCAUAGUGCCCAAAUGAUUAAUGCUACUUGCCCCAGUUUCUAGCCUCAUGGCUUUAUUCUGAGUUAUAUAGCCGCUAAUAUCUAUUAAAACACAAUGUGAGAUUACAUCCAAAACCCCAGCUGAUUUCAGUAAACUGUCUUAAUGUGUAUGGCUUGGGCAGCAUGCCUUGAGCUUGACAGUGUUUUACUGCUAGAGGGGAUGUUUGAUUUGAUCUCCACAAUUCAAGAGAAUUUGCCCUGGCAGGUAAAGAUUGAAUCAGACUUGCAGUGAAAAAAACACAAAGGAAAACAAUUCCUCAAACUGCCAUUUUUCAUCUUUAUGAGAGAGCU